AGAGUUUGAUCCUGGCUCAGGAUGAACGCUAGCGACAGGCUUAACACAUGCAAGUCGAGGGGCAGCACAGGUAGCAAUACCGGGUGGCGACCGGCGCACGGGUGAGUAACGCGUAUGCAACUUACCUAUCAGAGGGGGAUAACCCGGCGAAAGUCGGACUAAUACCGCAUGAAGCAGGGGCCCCGCAUGGGGAUAUUUGCUAAAGAUUCAUCGCUGAUAGAUAGGCAUGCGUUCCAUUAGGCAGUUGGCGGGGUAACGGCCCACCAAACCGACGAUGGAUAGGGGUUCUGAGAGGAAGGUCCCCCACAUUGGUACUGAGACACGGACCAAACUCCUACGGGAGGCAGCAGUGAGGAAUAUUGGUCAAUGGCCGAGAGGCUGAACCAGCCAAGUCGCGUGAGGGAUGAAGGUUCUAUGGAUCGUAAACCUCUUUUAUAAGGGAAUAAAGUGCGGGACGUGUCCCGUUUUGUAUGUACCUUAUGAAUAAGGAUCGGCUAACUCCGUGCCAGCAGCCGCGGUAAUACGGAGGAUCCGAGCGUUAUCCGGAUUUAUUGGGUUUAAAGGGUGCGUAGGCGGCCUUUUAAGUCAGCGGUGAAAGUCUGUGGCUCAACCAUAGAAUUGCCGUUGAAACUGGGGGGCUUGAGUAUGUUUGAGGCAGGCGGAAUGCGUGGUGUAGCGGUGAAAUGCAUAGAUAUCACGCAGAACCCCGAUUGCGAAGGCAGCCUGCCAAGCCAUUACUGACGCUGAUGCACGAAAGCGUGGGGAUCAAACAGGAUUAGAUACCCUGGUAGUCCACGCAGUAAACGAUGAUCACUAGCUGUUUGCGAUACACUGUAAGCGGCACAGCGAAAGCGUUAAGUGAUCCACCUGGGGAGUACGCCGGCAACGGUGAAACUCAAAGGAAUUGACGGGGGCCCG
rnacentral:rRNA from 1 species